UUACCAGUGUUCAAUUCAACCCAAGGAACCAGGAACUGAGGAGGAAGGAAGUAAUUGACAUUCAAAGCCUCUAUUUUUAGACACCUUUACACUUUCUUUUGCUUCUAACUAGCAAGGAUUUUUCCAAACAAGCUUUUAAUUAGCAGUUACAUCCAGCUUUUUAUUGCCUAAGCAAUCUGGGGCUUGCUUUGUCACUUGGCUUUGCUGUGGAGCACUCCUGUAAAGCUAGCUGAAUUGCACAUCGAAGAUCCACCCUUCUGGUGGCAAAGUGACAAGUGCCAAAACUCAGGCCUGACUUUUCUGAGAGCAUUAGUGUUCUGCCUGAUCUGGAAUAAUGGAUGUAAAGGACCGGCGACACCGCUCUCUGACCAGGGGGCGGUGUGGCAAAGAGUGCCGCUACACGAGUUCUUCCCUGGACAGUGAAGACUGCCGUGUGCCCACGCAGAAGUCCUACAGCUCCAGUGAGACUCUGAAGGCGUAUGACCAUGACGGCAGGAUGCACUAUGGAAACCGAGUCACGGACCUCGUUCACCGGGAGUCAGAUGAGUUUCCGA